rnacentral:lncRNA from 1 species
UCAAGGACAGAAGGACGCAGCCACAUGCGCAGCAUUCUACUCCCCUCCAUCUGGUGGAACUCCUAACCCAACUCCUCCAUCCCCUGUUACACCCUCUCCUCCUCCACCCUCACCAUCUCCUCCUCCCCCCUCACCAUCACCUCCUCCUCCUACUCCUGUUACGCCCCCUCCACCUCACCCUGAGCCAGAGUGUCCAGAGGGUUACGCGCCUGGAUACAAGUCUGGCACCUGUUUCAUGAUAGUAAAGGAGCCAAAGACCUGGUCUCAAGCCG